AACCUUAUGGACCUGCGGGCGUAUACCUGCGGAAGGAUCAUUACACAAUAAACAUAUGAAGGCUGCACCGCCAACAGGCGGCAAGGCUGGAGUAUUUUAUUACCCUUGUCUUUUGCGCACUUGUUGUUUCCUGGGCGGGUUCGCCCGCCUCCAGGACCACAUGAUAAACCUUUUUUAUGCAGUUGCAAUCAGCGUCAGUACAACAAAUGUAAAUCAUUUACAACUUUUAGCAAUGGAUCU
rnacentral:misc_RNA from 1 species